UACGAAGGGGGCUAGCGUUGCUCGGAAUCACUGGGCGUAAAGGGCUCGUAGGCGGCCAACUAAGUCGGAUGUGAAAUCCCCAGGCUUAACCUGGGAACUGCAUCCGAUACUGGAUGGCUUGAAUCCGGGAGAGGGAUGCAGAAUUCCAGGUGUAGCGGUGAAAUGCGUAGAUAUCUGGAGGAAUACCGGUGGCGAAGGCGGCAUCCUGGACCGGCAUUGACGCUGAUGAGCGAAAGCUAGGGGAGCGAACGGG
rnacentral:rRNA from 1 species